GCAUGGUAGAACUAUUAAAGAAUUUCGGUCAUCGAUGGGGAUGCGUUCCAUUAGGUUGUUGGCGGGGUAACGGCCCACCAAGCCUUCGAUGGAUAGGGGUUCUGAGAGGAAGGUCCCCCACAUUGGAACUGAGACACGGUCCAAACUCCUACGGGAGGCAGCAGUGAGGAAUAUUGGUCAAUGGACGAGAGUCUGAACCAGCCAAGUAGCGUGAAGGAUGACUGCCCUAUGGGUUGUAAACUUCUUUUAUACGGGAAUAAAGUGAGGCACGUGUGCCUUUUUGUAUGUACCGUAUGAAUAAGGAUCGGCUAACUCCGUGCCAGCAGCCGCGGUAAUACGGAGGAUCCGAGCGUUAUCCGGAUUUAUUGGGUUUAAAGGGAGCGUAGGCGGACGCUUAAGUCAGUUGUGAAAGUUUGCGGCUCAACCGUAAAAUUGCAGUUGAUACUGGGUGUCUUGAGUACAGUAGAGGCAGGCGGAAUUCGUGGUGUAGCGGUGAAAUGCUUAGAUAUCACGAAGAACUCCGAUUGCGAAGGCAGCUUGCUGGACUGUAACUGACGCUGAUGCUCGAAAGUGUGGGUAUCAAACAGGAUUAGAUACCCUGGUAGUCCACACAGUAAACGAUGAAUACUCGCUGUUUGCGAUAUACAGUAAGCGGCC
rnacentral:rRNA from 1 species